UCCACACCGUCGCCUCUCCUCACACUCCCAAAGUCCUCUUCUCUCUCUCUCUGGCAGCCGUCAGGACGACUGCCACACAGCUUCUCGCUUUGGCCGCACGGUCACCAGAUCCUCCGGUGCCGCUAUCUUCCCUUGAUUUAAACUCUCCGUCUUCCGUUAUCUCUUCUUGGUGUCCCUGUCGGUUUCGCCAGUACAUAACUUAUGCCCACCAUCUGUUUGAUACUUGGCUUCACAUAUAGCUCGUGGCCAUUUCCUGUUGUUUUUGGAUAUCAGGGUGCCAGAUUAGUUCCUUUUAUCUGCCCUUAUGAGGGAAUGAUCCGUAGACUUUCGACAAAAUUGUUGAACGUCUGCGUGUCUUCCCUGUGUAAAGCUAGGAACUUGGACAAAGCUGAGGCGGUUAUCAUUGAUGGCAUCAGACUAGGUUGCCUUCCUGAUGUUGUGACGUAUAACACGUUGAUCGAUGCGUACUGCUGUCUGGUAGGCAUAGAUGAAGCAUACGUGAUUCUUUAUAGAAUGAGAGAAGCAGGAGUGAGACCAGAUGUCAUUACUUACAAUUCUUUGAUCGCUGGCGCUACUCGGUGUUGCCUCCCGACACGUUCCCUGGAUCUGUUUGAAGAAAUGCUGCAGGCUGGACUUGUGCCAGAUGUUUGGACUUAUAACACCUUGAUGCAUUGCCUGUUUAAAUGCGGAUACCCAGAGGACGCUUACAAGAUUUAUUUGGAUAUGAUAUCAAAAAAUGUCACCCCUUCUUUGACCACAUACAACACCUUGAUUAAUGGCAUGUGCAAGACAGGGAAUGCUAUGAGUGGCCUCAGGCUCUUUAGGAACUUAGAAAGGCUUGGUUUUUCUGCAGAGCUGGUUACAUAUAAUACAAUAAUCAAUGGCCUUUGUAAAUCUGGUAGGAUAGGUGAAGCAAGAAGGAUUCUCAAGGAGCUGGGUGAAUCAGACUGUGUUCCAAAUGAGAUAACUUAUACGACGGUUAUGAAAUGCUGCUUUCAAAAUGGAAGAUUUGAGCAAGGAUUUGAGAUAUUUUAUGGGAUGAUGAAUAAAGGCUACACUGCUGAUGUCUUUGCGUAUUGUGCAGCAAUAAGUGCAUUGAUCAAGAUGGGUAAUCUUGAAGAUGCUAAUGCUUGUGUAGAGCAGAUGUUAAGAAAUGGCAUAGGUCUGGAUAAAGCAUGUUAUAAUACUAUAAUUUAUCUACAAUGCAAAGAAGGCAAGCUAGACUAUGCAUUCCAGUUGGUUAAUGAGAUGGAAGAAGCUGGCCUUGGGAGUGAUCAAUACACAUACUCUAUACUCAUAGAUGGUUUGUGCAGGAUGGGAUACAUUGAUUCUGCCAACAAGCAACUGCAUAUGAUGGAGAUGAGGGGCUUCCGCUCAAACUUAGUGGCUUAUAAUUGCUUAAUUGAUGGAUUGUGUAAACUAGGAGAAGUGGAUUUAGCCCUCAAGUUAUUCCAUGAGAUGAAAUCUAAGGAUAAUUACACAUACACAUCAAUUGUUAAUGGACUAUGUAAGAAGAGUAGAUUUCAUGCUGCAUCCAAGCUAUUGCUGAAUUGCUUAAAGGAGGGUAGUAGUGUGCUCACAUCUACCCACCGUGCCGUUAUAGCUGGUCUUCAAAGUGCUGGAUUUAGAAGGGAUGCGAAAAGAUUAAGAGCAUCUUUGCGUGUUGCUUGCCUUUUGCGGUACUAAAUUGAGAAACAGCAUGUGAACUUUGUUGGAUAUGAAACUGUUGGGACAGACUCUUUAUCUGGCCUGAACAUGAAUCAUGCUUCAGGCAGCAUCAGGCAUACGGAUAGCCUGCCUGAGAAUCCAGUGUUGCAUGAUAUGUUUGUGACACUUGAUUCUGCUGAUCUUGGGCCUUGAACAGCUGGAAUGUAUUUCACCUGUAUACAACACAUUGUGCUGCUUUACUUUGGCAAAACAGCACCAGGGAAUGUAUAAGGAUCAAGCUACAGGAAUCACCUCAGCAUGGAUUUGAUGCCUCUUUUACUAUUGCUCAUGAGAACAACCUGACAAAAGUCAGCAUCUUCCAGGACCUGAAGCUCCAUUACUCCAAGGAAAUUGGGAACCAGAAGCUG